rnacentral:rRNA from 1 species
GAGUUUGAUCAUGGCUCAGAUUGAACGCUGGCGGCAUGCUUUACACAUGCAAGUCGAACGGCAGCAUGACCAAGCUUGCUUGGUUGAUGGCGAGUGGCGAACGGGUGAGUAACACAUCGGAACGUACCGUUUAGUGGGGGACAACUUUCAGAAAUGGAAGCUAAUACCGCAUACGAACUACGGUUGAAAGCAGGGGACCUUCGGGCCUUGUGCUAAACGAGCGGCCGAUGGAAGAUUAGCUAGUUGGUGGGGUAAAGGCUCACCAAGGCGACGAUCUUUAGCGGGUCUGAGAGGACGAUCCGCCACACUGGAACUGAGACACGGUCCAGACUCCUACGGU